UACACCACAUGUGAAAAUAGACUCAAAAUGGUGGAAAGACCUAUUUUUUUUUUUUUUGGUUUUUCUUAUUUCUUAUUGUUAUAACCUGCAACCAAUUAAAAACAUAGGAGCAUGCAAAUUUAAUUGGACCCUAAAUACAAUUGCCUAAGUCAGAUAGCUGACUAUCUCCCAUGUUCUUUGCCUUGCUUGCUGCAACCUGCCAAAUACAGUGGUACAUUCAGAUAAGAGAACUGGUAAUACUGGUAGCUUGAGAGGGGAUAAGGUGACUCAGAGCAUGCAGUGGAGCAGAAGAGAAUAAGAGAAAAAGAAUAAACCAUUUUUUUUAAGAUUUUAUUUAUUUGAGAGAGAGAAUGAAUGGGGGGAGGGGCAGAGGGAGAAGGAGAGAAAGAAAGAGAGAGAAUCUGGAACAGACUCUCCGCUAAGCACAGAGUUCGACAUGGGGCUUGAUCCCACGACCCAUGAGAUCAUGACCUGAGUUGAAACCAAGAGUUAGAGGCUUAACUGACUGAGCCACCCAGGUGCCCCUAAACUAUUUUAAAAAACACAACCAGAAUUGUUUUUCUGGUGGGAGAUAUUUGGUUGUUUUCACAUAUGGAAAAAAAUUCAUUCAUCACUAUGGAAGAUUCUCCCCUCAAGAAGCUUAGGUGGGAGGUUCCAAAUUGCAUUUGGGCAGUUCUAGGCUAAAUAAUAUGAAUAGAGUGAGAGCAAGGAAAGCUCAGGCAGUGCUUACUGUCAACACAGUAGAAAUUGGAAUUGUGUCUCAUGGUGGGUUUUGGUCCUUUUAAGCCCAGGACCCAGUCCCAUUCUUCAACUUGCUGCUAAAAAGGAGUUAACUUCAGCAUGUCUCGUCAGCUGUGGACACUGGUGCCAGGGCAUGCUCUGAGCAAGCAGCAAUGGUGGUACCAGCCAACCACCAUAGUUCUGCCAAUUUUUUUUUAUUUUUUUAUAUGUAGGAAUCAUGCUCCUUAAGAAAGCCUCCUGUUGUGUUCUGUGAUAUUUUCUUGCUUUCCCUUGUAGGAGUUUUGGAACUUCAGGUGUUCAGUUACCAUCAGCAGAUACGCUGCUCUGGACUUACGAAAACACUGAGAGGCACCAGUGUACUGCCUUGAAGAUGUUAUUGUUGUGAAUUCAUGACAUGUCACAGAUGUCUCUUGCAUGGCUUGCUGGUUCCUGGAUGCCACACCAAGAAUCUUGCUCAAUCUAUGGACAAAUUAUGAGGCAAAGAGCAAGAGAGUAUGUGCUGAAGAGUAUGUGCUUUGAGCCAACCAUUCCUGCCUCAGUCACUUUACUUUCGAAAACCAAGAAAAUGGAUGGAGGAGUCAGGAUCACCUGACUCACAGUUGGAGUAAGUGAUUCUUGAGACCUACCAAUUUUUGGAAGGAGCCUGGUAACUGGAACAGGAGCCUUAUUGGAGAAGCCUUGCUUGUAGUUAGGACUCCACAGAUGGAACAGGAUUUCUGAAGAUGAAGUGAAACUUGAUGCUUGAACUAGCCUCCUCAGCUGCAAAUUGAUGGAUACAGAGAACCAGCCACAUGGAGUGUUCAUAUGAUUGUUGCCAUCUGUCUUUAAAUAUAACACUCUAGCAUGCGUCUCUAAGUAACAUAAGAAAAUCUCCACCUGGAACCACAAUUCAAGCUUAAGUCUACAUUUCCCAAACAUAUAGAUUAUGGAAAGAUCAAGAACUAAAGAGAACAAGAUAACUUGUGUGAAGAAAAAAUAUGAAUAUUACAAGAGAAGAAAGGAGAAUUGAAAGAAAGUAGGGAAUUAAUUGAACAGCAGGAAGGAGAUGGACAAUUUCCAAGAACAAUAUAUUCCUCCCACUUGAAAGCUGGGGAGCUUAAUUUCUUCUCUUUCUUUCAUAAUUACUGGGAGGGCUUCUUCAGAACUAAUAAAUUUUAUUGGUUCAGUUAAAAAAUAUUUAUUAUACAGGACCUACAGAAAUCUCAGUAUAGUUUUUUGACUCUUUAUUAAAAUUUUGUAUUUUUAGAUACUAUAUAAGUUAAGGUAUACUAUAUUUUAAAUUGGUUAGAAUUGCUCUACUUUUGUCGCUAAAUUUGGAAUGAAUUAGAAGAGCUUUGGAAUGCAUUAAAAUUAACUUUAUGCAUAUAAAAUCACCUUUUGAAUUUUUUUAUAAAAUUCGUUUAACCAAUUUAAGCUAAAGGAAACUCUAUGAACUGGUUUGAG